rnacentral:rRNA from 1 species
UACAGAGGUCCCAAGCGUUGUUCGGAUUUACUGGGCGUAAAGGGUGCGUAGGUGGCGGGGUAAGUUUGAUGUGAAAUCUCCGAGCUCAACUCGGAAACGGCAUUGAAUACUAUUUCGCUCGAGGGUCGGAGGGGAGACUGGAAUUCUCGGUGUAGCAGUGAAAUGCGUAGAUAUCGAGAGGAACACCAGUGGCGAAGGCGAGUCUCUGGACGACUCCUGACACUGAGGCACGAAAGCUAGGGGAGCAAACAGG